CCCACUUAUAAGUGAGGACGUGUGGUGUUUGGUUUUCUGUUCCUGCGUUAGUUGGCUGAGGAUAAUGGUGUCCAGCUUCAUCCAUGUCCCUGUAAAGGACAUGAUUCUGAAGUCUCGGGAGCUGUCUCUCUGUUCCACAGUUUUUUUUCUUGUCUUUGACUUGAAGGAACUGGGUCAAUUGUCCUGCGGAAUGUUCCACCUUCUGGGUUUAUCUAUGGAUGAGACUUUCUUUCAGCUGGGUGCGGUGGCUCACACCUGUAAUCCCCGCUACUCGGGAAGCUGAAGCGGGAGGAUCUCUUGAGCCCAGGAGGUCAAGGUUGCAGCGAACUAUGAUCCGCACCACUGCACUCCAGCCUGGGCAGCAGAGCGAGACCCUGUCUCAAAAAAAAUUCACUUUGAAUUAAGGAGGGAGACCUGUGAGGGCACAGCAAGUCGUAUUUGAGCUGAGGGAGAAAGAAUUCAGUCUCAGCAUCAAGUAUGGUGACAGCUGGGGAUUUUGCUUAAAGCAGGCUGGGAAAAGAAGGAAAUUCGAACGCAGGCUGCAACACGGAUGAACCUUGAGGACGUCGUGCUGAGGUGAAUUAAGCCAGACACAGAGGACAAAGGGGCAAACGCUACAUGAUUCCACUCACAGGAGGUCCCUGGAGUUGCGUGAGAUGCACAGAGAAAAUGGAAGGUGUUUCCCUGCAACGGUGCCGGCUUUCCUUGGAGUUUGGUGACGAUUGAUAUGGAUGUGGCUUUGUGGUUGGCUGCCUGCCCAGCUCCCAGGGGCGAGGGGCUCCUCCUGCCCCAGCCCUGCCUGUCAGUGCCCCCGCCUGUGGCCCCACCGACCGUCCCAUCCACCCCAUCUGUCCACAUGGAGUUCACACGUGUCUGAGCCCUUCUUGUUCUUCAGGAACCUAAAGUGGAAGUUCGGAUAAUUAAUUCAAGACUCCAUGAAGUGUACAGGCGAAGAUCAUCUCUUUCCGGCCCUGCUGCGGACACUAGUGCAGUGAGCAGAUGCCUUCUCAGUUCCGCAGCCGCCCUCUGAGCCGUCUGAUUCCUCCACGUGGACCUGGGUUUCCACACAAGCAACGAGGAAGGCAGAGCCACACACACUGCGGAUAAAAAGGCAGCACGGAUGGCAGGGACCAAUUCUGCCUGGACCAGCGUGGGUGCUGUGUUGCGACGGUCAACGUUGUCUUCUCUGCUGAGCAAGAGCAGAGCCACCUGUGUUCUGAGGUUAGCAAAACUCACAGUCCACCUUCUGCAGGAUGCUUUUCCACGGCACCCAAAUCCUUCGUGUAUAAAGCAUCGUUUUCCAGGACAACUCUUUCUUUAAACUUUUUUGUAGUAACUGCUCUCCAAAUGGCAUAAUGCUUUCCAUAAAUGUCACCUGAGUGAGGGGAUCUCCAUUGGAAUGAGCUGUGUGUGAGCAGGUUACAAAAGCAGAGAAUAUGUGCGUCUGCCUACUCUGCACCAAUGAACAGCAGGA
rnacentral:lncRNA from 1 species